CUGACUGGGAUCAUGCGGCCACCAAGAAGAUGAGGUCUGGAGAGGAAAACAGAGUUGGUGGCACAGAAAUGCUGACAAGGAGGGCAGUCAACAGGAGCAACAAAGUAUGGAAAAGGUGAAUUUUUGAGAGACCAGCAGCUGCCACUCGCCUCCGUCGUCUUGGCUUUUUGUGUUAUCCUGUGACGUGGACCCUGUUGUGACAACAUCACCCCUUUGGACCUUGGACUGGAUUUCGACUUGGCAUAUCUCUUCGCUCCCAAAACUCGGCUUGGCACCAUUCCUAUCUUCGUGGCUGUCUUCUGUAGCUGACUACUGGCUUCGUCUUCGACUCUGACGCUGUUCUCCAACCCCGACUUCGGACCGGCUUGACUUCACUAUGACACUUCACUCCUUUAACAUCUGGCUUGGCUUUCAACUUGCUUAACUUCUUAUUUCAGAGGUAUACAUACCGCCCGUCAUCACCAGACAUUGCUGAUAU
rnacentral:lncRNA from 11 species